ACUCAGAUGAAAAGCCAAAGCAAACAGCCAAGCCAAGCGGUCAUUUCGCUGGCAGGCAGAGAGGAGACAGGGUCUGGGACUUGUCUCAUCUUUAAUAUAUAACAACUGCCCGUGCGGAGUCAACGCACUUCGGGAAUGGUCGCAGGCCAAUCACUACCUUGUGUUCAUAUUGCGUAACUCAAAUGAAACGCAAGCUGAUCCCAGCCAAGCGGUCAUUUCCCUGCCAGGCAUAGAGGAAACAGGCCACAACAUGGGUCUAGGACUGAUCUCUGAUGAUUAUUAACAACUGGCCCUGCGGAGUCAAUGCACUUCUCCUGUACUUCGGCCGACUAGGUUCCUGACACCGGCCAGUAUCCAUGCCCACCAUGACGGCACAAUCUGGCCACACAGAUAAUCAUGGCCAACCGCAGCGGGGAAAGUCGUCAGAGACCUUCCACGGGAAGCUAAGCAAGGCAAGCUGUAUUAAUGGAAGAAACCGGAGAGGACGUCCGUGUGGGGGACCGAGGGACGCCAUAUACAACACCCUGAACAGUGUCAUCUGUAGGACUGAGAAGUCCAUAAGAGGGAAAUACUUUUAUUAGACCUAGAGCAUAGCCGCCACCAGGCCUUCCUAAGGGGGGGUCGUUAUCAUAGAAUUCCUCACAAAAAUCGGGAAAUUGGCCAAAGAAGUCAGUACACGCCGCUAAGGUUAUGGUUACUCCUCUGGCUACGCGGCCGACCAAACACUCUGGUAGCAAAAUUCCGCUUCAAAAUUAUUCUCUACAUUCAGUGUAGUCAGUCUGGUAUAGGCUAAUAGCAGUAUGCAGCGAAACGGUUGGGCUGCUACAACCAAAGGAAGCCUGGGACCAUUCACGGACGGAGAAUUCAUGGACUGGCGUAUAUGUGCUCUCUGAGUUAUUGGAUUUAUACGAAUAUGUAUUGUCUACUCUUUUAUGCAUUGUAGGGUGUAACUUCUUCAUUGUAGGCUGUAUACGUAAAUCAAAGAGUAUACAAUUAAGGUAAUUAACCUCGCCGACGACGGUCCAAGUCAAAGCGGGGAUAGAUGUACAUUUUGGUACGAAUACCCAUACAAAUGUGCUGUACAAUUAUUAUGCUUGCAGUAAAAUUUGAAACCGUUACUUUAAUACUUGCAAGUUUGCAACCCCACUUAAACGUGGGACGGUUGUAAUUGUUAUUGUUGUACCAUGAUUGUUAUCCUUUGACGGUUAUUAAUUUAGUUUAAUGAAGUGUACUGCAGUAGAGACAUUAAGUCACCGAUGUCGUGUGACAGUUGUACAGCUGUCUGUCACGUAAGACAGAUCAGAUCGUAAAAUAGAGACAAGAUAGUUCAGUUCAGGACAGCAAUAGAGCACCUCAGUUAAGUCCAAAGUGAGGCAACAUUUUGUAGUCAUAGCCAGUCCGCGUAAUAAGUCCCCCCGUACCCAGUGUACGGGAAUCCUUGUCUCUGCGUCAUUUCUUUAUCAUUGAUGUGCUGAUCUUCAUAUCGGCAUAUAAAAGAACCUGUAUCUAUAUACAGGUUAUGUGUCCAUGA